UACGGGGGGGGCAAGCGUUGUUCGGAAUUACUGGGCGUAAAGGGCUCGUAGGUGGCCAACUAAGUCAGACGUGAAAUCCCUCAGCUUAACUGGGGAACUGCGUCUGAUACUGGAUGGCUUGAGUUUGGGAGAGGGAUGCGGAAUUCCAGGUGUGGCGGUGAAAUGCGUAGAUAUCUGGAGGAACACCGGUGGCGAAGGCGGCAUCCUGGACCAACACUGACACUGAUGAGCGAAAGCCAGGGGAGCAAACGGG
rnacentral:rRNA from 1 species